rnacentral:lncRNA from 1 species
UUUUGUCCUCUAAAUCUGUAUUAGGUGCCAAGCUGACUCAAACUUGGACCUGCUCCUGUCGUAUGAGAGGGAUGGAAGAGCCCUGCAUCUAGUUCUUGAGGACAGGUCACAGGCACAUGAAGAGGGAGCAAAAGCAGUUCUGUGCCAAACGAAAAAGGUCUCAACCCACGGCUUUCCAAGACACAGACAAGGAGACAGGCUGGAUGAGGAGGAGAGGACACAGUUCUGGGAUUUUGACUGCGACUCAGCCCAAGUGACCCUGGACUGAGUGGGACAGUUUGUAGCCUCCCGAGAGAGGUGACAGUGGCCCACUGACCUCCACAUCAUCCAAAGCUCUUCUGGAGUCCCGAGCCCUGUUUGGAGCAUCACACCGGAGAGGAACAUUAGCGCACUGGAACACACACAAGUGGCGGGUGAGGGGAGCAAGAAUGAAGGCAGCUCAAGAUGCUGAGAAGUCAGGAAGAGCUGUUUCCCGCUGUCAAGUCCUUGUGCUGUUGUAAAGUGAACUUAACACAGAAACUAUUUUGUUCUCAGUACUUUAGUGCACAAAGUGAGUAAAAAUUUUGCCAUCCGAUCAACUAGAGGCUGUACU